AAAUUGAAGAGUUUGAUCAUGGCUCAGAUUGAACGCUGGCGGCAGGCCUAACACAUGCAAGUCGAACGGUAACAGGAAACAGCUUGCUGCUUUGCUGACGAGUGGCGGACGGGUGAGUAAUGUCUGGGAAACUGCCUGAUGGAGGGGGAUAACUACUGGAAACGGUGGCUAAUACCGCAUAACGUCGCAAGACCAAAGAGGGGGACCUUCGGGCCUCUUG
rnacentral:rRNA from 1 species